rnacentral:rRNA from 1 species
ACAUCCUACGGGAGGCGAGCAAGUGGGGAAUAUUGCACAAUGGGCGCAAGCCUGAUGCAGCCAUGCCGCGUGUGUGAAGAAGGCCUUCGGGUUGUAAAGCACUUUCAGUCGUGAGGAAGGUGGUGUAGUUAAUAGCUGCAUUAUUUGACGUUAGCGACAGAAGAAGCACCGGCUAACUCCGUGCCAGCAGCCGCGGUAAUACGGAGGGUGCGAGCGUUAAUCGGAAUUACUGGGCGUAAAGCGCAUGCAGGUGGUUUGUUAAGUCAGAUGUGAAAGCCCGGGGCUCAACCUCGGAAUUGCAUUUGAAACUGGCAGACUAGAGUACUGUAGAGGGGGGUAGAAUUUCAGGUGUAGCGGUGAAAUGCGUAGAGAUCUGAAGGAAUACCGGUGGCGAAGGCGGCCCCCUGGACAGAUACUGACACUCAGAUGCGAAAGCGUGGGAGCAAACAGGAUUAGAUACCCUGGUAGGUGA